AUGAACGCUGGCGGCGUGCUUAACACAUGCAAGUCGAACGGAAAGGCUCCUGCUUGCAGGGGUACUCGAGUGGCGAACGGGGGAGUAACACGUGGGUGAUCUGCCCUGCACUUCGGGAUAAGCCUGGGAAACUGGGUCUAAUACCGGAUAGGACGAUGGUUUGGAUGCCAUUGUGGAAAGUUUUUUCGGUGUGGGAUGAGCUCGCGGCCUAUCAGCUUGUUGGUGGGGUAAUGGCCUACCAAGGCGUCGACGGGUAGCCGGCCUGAGAGGGUGUACGGCCACAUUGGGACUGAGAUACGGCCCAGACUCCUACGGGAGGCAGCAGUGGGGAAUAUUGCACAAUGGGCGCAAGCCUGAUGCAGCGACGCCGCGUGGGGGAUGACGGCCUUCGGGUUGUAAACUCCUUUCGCUAGGGACGAAGCGCAAGUGACGGUACCUGGAGAAGAAGCACCGGCUAACUACGUG
rnacentral:rRNA from 1 species